rnacentral:rRNA from 1 species
GACGAACCGAGCGAACGUUAUUCGGAAUCACUGGGCUUAAAGGGUGCGUAGGCGGCUCUAUAAGUAUGGUGUGAAAUCUCCCGGCUUAACUGGGAGGGUGCGCUAUAGACUGUGGGGCUAGAGUGUGGGAGAGGAAAGUGGAAUUCCUGGUGUAGCGGUGAAAUGCGUAGAUAUCGGGAGGAACACCUGUGGCGAAAGCGGCAUACUGGACCACAACUGACGCUGAGGCGCGAAAGCUAGGGGAGCAAACAGG